UACGUAGGGUGCGAGCGUUAAUCGGAAUUACUGGGCGUAAAGCGUGCGCAGGCGGUUUUGUAAGCCAGAUGUGAAAGCCCCGGGCUCAACCUGGGAAUGGCAUUUGGGACUGCAAGGCUGGAGUUUGGCAGAGGAGACUGGAAUUCCCGGUGUAACAGUGAAAUGCGUAGAUAUCGGGAGGAAUACCGAUGGCGAAGGCAGGUCUCUGGGCUAUAACUGACGCUCAUGCACGAAAGCGUGGGGAGCAAACAGG
rnacentral:rRNA from 1 species